CAAAAAUUCCUAACCAACUCCUUCGAGUUUAAAUCAGUCGGGUCGACACCCCCAUUUGCAAUUAAGUCCUCUACCUCGUUCAAUUCCCUCACUGUUUUGUCAAUACACAGAUCCUUAAAACCAAAAACAUCUCGAUUCCACUUCUUCAACGCUUCUUUCAAUCUCUUCAUCUUUUUUGAAAUAACGAAAGUCUUUGUUCCUCUUACAUCGGAUUGCGCCCAAAUGUUUUUCACAAGAUCAAAGAAUUCUGGAUGAUCAACCCAACAACUGUUGAAUUUAAAGGGUUUAGGCCCCCAGUUAUGAUUAGAACAUUCUAACCAAAU
rnacentral:lncRNA from 1 species